ACACACACACACACACACACACACACACACACACACACACACACACACACACACACACACACAGCGGUAUCAGAUAGAUGUGCGUCUACUGGAGGUGACACAUAACCAUCUUUCUUCUAGACACAGACACACCUGUUAGACUUGUAUCGGGUCCCUCUGUCUCUGCUCUACCAGCUCAACUGGAGGUGAACAAUACACACUGGUCUCUGAGACACCUGUAUCAGGACCAUCAGUGUUUCCUCUAGGUGACAGAACAGUCUAGCAGGUGACAGAACAGUCUAGCAGGUGACAGAACAGUCUAGCAGGUGACAGAACAGUCUAGCAGGUGACAGAACAGUCUAGCAGGUGACAGAACAGUCUAGCAGGUGACAGAACAGUCUAGCAGGUGACAGAACAGUCUAGCAGGUGACAGAACAGUCUAGCAGGUGACAGAACAGUCUAGCAGGUGACAGAACAGUCUAGCAGGUGACAGAACAGUCUAGCAGGUGACAGAACAGUCUAGCAGGUGACAGAACAGUCUAGCAGGUGACAGAACAGUCUAGCAGGUGACAGAACAGUCUAGCAGGUGACAGAACAGUCUAGCAGGUGACAGAACAGUCUAGCAGGUGACAGAACGGUCUAGCAGGUGACAGAACGGUCUAGCAGGUGACAGAACAGUCUAGCAGGUGACAGAACGGUCUAGCAGAAAGCAGCAGCCAGGUAGCCAGAGUGACAGGAACCCGACUGUCUGACUCACUAGCCAAGAUAAAAGCUCAACCACUUCCUCUGAAACACACCAGUCAGUAGACCAUUAAGCAAUAUUAGGCUGGUUGACUUAGCAUACAUGCCAUAGACAACAGUGUCCACUGUCACCAACCCGUUUGGCAGAAAGACACUCUUCCUUCACCCUCUGCUAUAUGACACCAAGGAAUGUUCACCUGCCCCAAAGCCCAUCAUCUCAUUAUCUUCACUCACUCCAACUCAUUCUUUCUCUUUAACGCACCAAACCUCUAGCUCCUUUCAAAAAUGACUCAUCAUACCAGACUUCACACAGGUCCAAUGCCUGAAGGAAAAGUGUGUUACUGAAAACAGAU